rnacentral:tRNA from 1 species
GAGGGUAUAGCUCAGUGGUAGAGUGCGUGCUUACCAUGCAGGAGGUUCUGGGUUUGAUCUCCAGUACUUCCA